ensembl:lncRNA
AAAGUUCUGGAUUGUGCCUCUUCCCAGCUGGGGCCGGCAGCCACCUGAGAGACACACCAGGGAACCUGGUAUCGUGAGCUGUGCAUGCCAAGCCCGGGGCAUUCCAAGGGCUUCUAUCCCCAUCAUAUCCAUUAUUUGGCUUCAAAUCACCUCAGUCAAUAAAAACACCAUUGUUGGUUUGCACCUCUCAGAAAAUUUGUGUGCAUUAAACACUUUGGCAAUAUUUAUCUGUCCUGCCAUCUGUCUUACUUUCUACACAUUCUCAACAGUCUGGCCUAGAAAGCACCCAAAAUCACCUGAGCGUCGUAAAAUUAGUCCACGGCUGUCAGAGAAACGCGUGGAGACACAGCUGCGGCCCUGCCGCCUGAUUUAAUGAGGUUCUGAAAGGAUGUGGACAAGGAUGCUUCCCCUUGGUUGCCAUGGGAACAGGGCACUCAGAGCAGGUGUCAGCAGCAUCGAAAUCAAGAUGAAUCAGCGGAUGGCUCCUCGUGCAGGGAGGCGUGGACCAAGCCUUGUGGCUCCAGUCCUGGCAUCAUCGCAUUGGGCGGAGUCAAGAACGGGGCCCGAACAUCGUCCAGACUUUAUCCUGGACACACCGCGUUGCUGCACAAGCUCUAUGACCCCCGAAGCCUUACACUUGGAGGAUUCCAGAGUUGGAUGCUCAGAGACGUCCGUUCUUCUUGGAUCCUCAUUCAUUGGAAUGUGAUGAUUUGGGCCAAAAUUCUGCAUCCUGGAUAAUUCAGAUAAUCACCUCAACUCCAUAUUUUGCCUGAGUGUCAAGAACUGACUCCAAAAAGCAGAACAGCUUCCGCUGCAAAUGUGGUGGCGUAAGUACCCAGUCCAUCACUUAGCUCAGGCCAUCUGCACGUCUUGUCCGAGGGACCACGGCGCGGGUUUGCUACCCCAGGCUGGCUUGUGCACCUGUCACCACAGAGCGGAGCAGUCAGAGGGAGCCAUGAGGUCCUGGCCGGGGAGACUGGGUUCAGAGUGUUCAGAAAGGCCACGAAGAAGGUGGUGGAGUCUGAAUAAUGAGCUGUUUGGUAGGCUGGAACAGACCACGGUAGAGCUGGAGCCACGGUCAUGGGCACAGCUGGCUGAUUCCAUCUCAACCUCGGCACCUCCUGCACAGCACCGGGCAAGCGGCUCAUGCUCUGCGUCACCUGUAAAACCAGUGAUGACCAGGACCCUGCUUCUCAGCGUGCACGACGGAAGUGAUUUCUGCCGUGCUAGGACACAGCUGUUGCUGCUCUGAGAUUCAGCCGGCCCCGCCACUGCUUUUCCUGGGACAGCUCCCUCUGCGGCUCCUCCUCCCAGGCGCAGAGGACACGCCCAAGCCUCCCAGCUGCCCCGAGACGCCUCCACCCUCUCCUCGGUCCCCCCGUUUUAAUAACAACAGCAGCAGAUGCUGCGUGUCCAACUCUUGCCAUGAAGCUCUGUGCCUGUGUUACUUCACGGCCUCUUGGUUGUCCUGGGGGGCAGGUGCUGGUGUGCACCCCACUUCACAGAUGAAGAAAUCGAGGCACAGAAAACCUCAGACACGGGCUGGGGCCACACACGCAGAUGUGCGGAGCUGGGAUGUGGCU